AAAAAUAUUCUUAACAUCCUUCUAAAGUUCUAAACCUCGGAGAUCUAGGCGAAGUUCUGUCCGUAACGCUAGCCUACGAAAACCUUUUAGGAAGCUAACAAUUUCGGUUGUUUUAUCAAGACGCAAGGUAAGAGGCCCCAAAUAUAAAUCGUUGAUGAGUAUACGUGGAGCCAACAUGACUGUACAUAUGGGGCUGACCUGAAGGGAGUGGAGUUCUGCUAUGCUAUUUUAUAAAUAAACAAGAAACUUGGUUUUAUUAUAUUUCAUUAAAAGUAUUUUGUGAACUUUAUCAUUUACUUAAAGCUUUAA